UACCAGCACCCCGAGUGGUCGGGACGUUUAUUGGGCCUAAAGCAUCCGUAGCCGGUUCUACAAGUCUUCCGUUAAAUCCAACUGCUUAACAGGUGGGCUGCGGAAGAUACUAUAGAGCUAGGAGGCGGGAGAGGCAAGCGGUACUCGAUGGGUAGGGGUAAAAUCCGUUGAUCCAUUGAAGACCACCAGUGGCGAAGGCGGCUUGCCAGAACGCGCUCGACGGCGAGGGAUGAAAGCUGGGGGAGCAAACCGG
rnacentral:rRNA from 1 species